UACGUAGGCAGCAAGCGUUGUUCGGAGUUACUGGGCGUAAAGGGUGUGUAGGCGGUUCCUUAAGUUUGCUGUGAAAUCUCCCGGCUUAACCGGGAGGGUGCGGUGAAUACUGAGGGACUAGAGUACGGGAGAGGAAGGUGGAAUUCCUGGUGUAGCGGUGAAAUGCGUAGAUAUCAGGAAGAACACCCGUGGCGAAGGCGGCUCUCUGGGACGGUACUGACGCUGAGACGCGAAAGCGUGGGGAGCGAACAGG
rnacentral:rRNA from 1 species